UACAGGGGGUGCAAACGUUGCUCGGAAUCAUUGGGCGUAAAGCGCACGUAGGCGGUUCGUUAUGUCGGAUGUGAAAGCCCUUGGCUUAACCGAGGAAGAGCAUCCGAAACUGGCGAGCUAGAGUACGAAAGAGGAUCGCGGAAUUCCCGGUGUAGAGGUGAAAUUCGUAGAUAUCGGGAGGAACACCGGUGGCGAAGGCGGCGAUCUGGGUCGAUACUGACGCUGAGGUGCGAAAGCGUGGGGAGCAAACAGG
rnacentral:rRNA from 1 species